UUGAGCCGUAUGCGGGGAAACUCGCACGUACGGUUCUUAGGGGAGGGGUGGCCAGCAAUGGUCGCUCCUUACCCGAC
rfam:Azotobacter vinelandii DJ, complete genome.